ensembl:lncRNA
CCCUCUUCCUCACUGAAGUUUACACCCACCAAAUACUUGUAGAUGGUUAUCGUGUUUCCUUUAGUCAUUGUUUAGCUAGGAAGUACACGUCUAAUCCAACUUCUGCUGGUGUAACACUGGACAUGGGAGGAAUAAGGCCCGCCUAAUGGAGAACAUAAGGCGAGCUGCUUCAGCAUAAAGCUUUUUAAGAACUUCCCUCUGGCAAGUAAUUCACAGCUGGCCUCAAAGGAGGCAUUACUAGCCAGGAGGAGGGCAAGGCAAGAGAUGCUAAAAGAUGAUCUGAUUUAGGGCUUUGUCAAUCAGGCCUUAGUGGUUGGGAUGAUACGAGAUAGACUCGUGUAUUCCCCAAGCUGAAAUCUCUUGAGCCCAAACCACUACUGGCAGUGAAUUAACCAUCUGCUAACCGUGGUGAGGCACUGCCUGGAAGAGUGCAAGCUGAACCAGGCCAAAACCAUAUCAAAGACUGCAUCCAUAAUCUGCGGUGCAAAUGAGCAUGGACACCUCUCAGGCUCAUUCCCUGACCGCUUUCCGUUCACUGGUGCACACACACAGCCAGAGCAGCCUCUGUUUGGCUUAAUGAGCAGAGGGCUCACAGGAGACCUGUGGUGGACACAACACCUGGCCCAGCUCUGUGGGCCCUUUGGACUGCAGGGACUGGAGUUUGGAGCACUGGACAAGGCACAGAGGAUCAUGAUCUGGAGGACAGUCUGCCUGCAACUACUGAACCCAUGUAUCCACAGAGCAACGUAAACCCAAACACCUUAAACAAAGAGGAAACUGGAACUGGGGCCAGUAAACAGCACGUCCAAAAGGAAGAGAGUCCUGGGAGGCAAGGAAAAUCAAAGUUUGGCCAGGAUACAGAAGUUCCCACCUCCAGCAAACGCUGCCACAAGAGGCACAGGGACUGCGGCAGCUGAAACCCGGGGUUACACCGCAUCCAAGAAGGGCAGGAGCAGUGCAAGCAGCCGAGCAGGAGCCAGCAUCUCGCCCACCUCCUGUGCCUUCUCCCCAGCAGACAGGGCGCCUUUCUUGUCUGCCACUCGCUGUUCCCGGCACGAGCUGAUGAGGCGCCUUGUUCUCCCCCAGUUGGUACAAAAUAGGCGGCCGUCUUCCAGGAAAGGCACAAAUCUCCUUUGACAAGCAGUGAUAUUAACAGGGAUUAGGGAAUGCAGGAGCCACCGCAAUAAUCGUCCAAAGGGUGCGGCCUGGGCUGCCCGGCCUGGAAGCUCUUUAAUCACAGCCAGAGGUUACGUGGAAGAAGGGGCUGCGCUUUCAAACCACUUACUUUGAAAAGAACACCAGGAAAACUUGCUGGCAAUUUGCAUGCAGAAUGAGAAGUGAUGGACUGUUAACCCUUUGGUAGUGGCUGCUGCUUGAGCACCACUGCGCCUGGGGUGCGGGCACACGUUUGUGGCUCUGGAUGUGGAAGUUACAAUCUCCUGGAGCCAUGCCUGUGUUGACAUAGCUACAAGAUCUUAUGCAAAGAGGUGAAAAAAAGGGAAAGGCUGAGCUCUUGUGAGGAGUGCAGUCAUUUCUCUGACUGCCACAUAAUGGCAGCCCAGGUGCCAUUUUGCUCCAGCACCAUUGGUCUCAGCACGAGGUAUAAGAACCCACCCGGGAAGCUGAGGGAACAUUCAGUGAGCUCUGAAGCUCUCUUCACCACAACAGUGCUGCUGCAGUCACCACAACUGACCUGGUGUACACGUGUGGGUGUGUGCAUGUGUGACAGCAAUCCUCUGGGCCUCCCAAAUGCCACCCAUCGAUGCGAUAUGCUGAGCUAUGGAAACAGCAACACACAACACCACGCUCUGACUCUUGUCUUUGUGUGAAGCUGGUUACACCCAGCCCUUGGUUCUAGGCAGUUUCAAGUGAAGGUUCUCUUCCUCGUUUAUUUUCAAACAGAAAGGAGGAGAGGGAAAGGACACAUGGACAAAAGGAUGAUGAUUCAAAGCACCCAUCAGCCUCAGCCAGCUCUGAUCACUAGGUGCCUGCUACCCCGUAUCAACGGUAUGCAGCCAGCCCUCAAGUCCAUGUGUAAAUAAUCACAACCACUGAGCUCCUCAUGGGUCCUAGCAAGAAAAAUUGCCUUUGUGAAACUGCCACAGGAUGUGCCUUAUUCUCUGGUCUGUAUUCAUUAUUCCCUUGUUUAAAAAUUUCAUUUAUGCAGUCAGGAACAAUGCCGUGAGAUCUAGGCCAACAACUGCACAUUCAAACUAACUGGGAAGAAAAGCCAAAGCAAAUAGUCCUGGGUUCUGCAGCACACAGCACACACUGGAUAAUUACCCACCCAAAAUAUUCAGAGAAAAACAAGUACAGUAUUGACACACACACACACACACAAAAAGUCAAGAUUGGUCCACAAAUAAUUUAGCAGCCAAAUCUUGAACUAACAAAUUAUGAGUUUCAAUGAAGCACUCGCAGGGCUCCAUUCAGCAUCGCAGGAGCUGUGGGACUGUCCCCAUUGUUGAUGCCCGCUGGAGGACUGCUGGGUGCCAGAGCAGAACACCCUGCCUGCAGGCGUUUGGGAGGUGCUGUGUCCCUUUCAGCACAGUCUGAAGUCUGAAAAGCGUCAAAAUUCCGGUGCUGGGAACAGCAGCUGCCCCUAAAGCUCUGAACCAUCACCCUGAGAGGCAGCUCCUGAGCCUGUGCCAACCCUGUAGUGCUGGACCUGCUCCCGUAUGCGUGUGGACUCACUUCCUUCACUGCAGUACAUUUGGUCCCUCCUUGGCAUGCUAAUAUAAGUAAGGUCACUUGCACAAACACACCCUGUUUAUCUUCCUCGCUGCAACCAGCUCUCACCCUCUCCAAAUAUGAUUGCUAUGUCCUCGCUUGCACGGAAUCAUAGAAUCGUUAAGGUUGGAAAAGACCUCUCAGAUCAUCUAAUCCAACCAUCAGCCCAUCCCCACCAUGCCCACUAACCACGUCCCCCAGUGCCACAUCCACACGGUUCUUGAACACCUCCAGGGACGGUGACUCCACCACCUCCCUGCACAGCUUGUACCAAUGCACCACCACUCUUCCUGAGAAGAAAUGUUUCCUAAUAUCCAACCUGAACCUCACUCUGGAAUGUUCUGUUUCAGUGUCCCUGUCUGAUUCUCACCCUCCUCCUGGGCUGAGCAGCACUGACCCUGCCUUGCAAUGAGAUGAAUCCCCAGAGGUGGACCUGCAGUUGGUGAGAAAUGAGAUGUCAUGAUGAAAAUGGAAGGCUUAGGAGAGAGCAGGGGUCAAACAGAUUAUUCUCCUCAUGUUGCUUUCAGGUUUUCUGUUCAGAAAAUCCCCUUCCAGGUAUCAGCAAGGCAAGUCAGAGGUGGUGAAGGCAGUUUCCACUCAGCCGUUUUCAACUCAAGUAGUUCAUGGUGACUCCUGUCGGGUAGCAUCUUUCACAGAGCUGCAACCUGACUGACCACUGAGGGAGCCCCAGUGGCUUUGAAAUAUGGCAAUAUGGACCAGGAUUCGUAUGUCUCUACUAAGGAUCUCUGGAGGAGAGAAGUAGCAGAGCUAUGAUACAAGACCUUAUCCAGACCAACCUUCUUGAGCCACUUACAUGGCAGAUAGAAUUUACUGCCUAAACGGCCAGACCCAGAGGGUAGUGAGCAGCAGUGCAACGUCCACAUGUUCAAAUUUGAAUAAGGCAGCUAGCUUCCCAUCUCCCAGUAACCCAGCUGAGGGCUGUUUUAGUGCAGACUCCUUUGAAUGUCCGCACAGGGAAUGACAGAUCACAGUACUACAUCCUACAGUAAUAGGAGGAAAAACAACAGAUCAAAGGUGUCCUCCUUAAUCUGUUUUGAUAUGUGCUCCCCUAUCUCAGUUCAUAAGGCG